GUGAGAAUCCAGGAAGGCAGAGACAUGUCAGCUGUGAGAAGCAUAUCCAUGCAGUUAUUAUGGCCACAUGUAAUCUUUGCUGGGCUUUGUCAGCAUAUGAGCUGCUGAUGAGGAUGACUUCUUUCCCAACCAGGAAUGGUUUGUAUGGCUUUUCUGCAAGCUAUUGCUGGGAGUUUAGGUUUGGGGAUUCCUGAGGUGGGUGUAACUAGAAAAGGCUCUGGUUUAUCUUCACUCAGACUUUGAUGAUUUGAAAAGAUUAACAGGCAAAAUACUCAAAGAUUAAAAACAAACAAAUGGAAAAAGAAAGGAAGGAUGGAGAACUUGAAAGCAAGGAAGAAAUGACUUUUAGAUGGUCUAGUCUCUUGUCCUGUGUAGCUAUAAUGACUUCAUUGCACAUGAUCUCAGAUAGUAGGUUAAUUUGGUUCUGGGCCUGGUAUAUGUUUGUUCAAUUUUAUGUGGUCUCCUUAAUGCUGUAUGGAAUAUUGUAAAUUUGUAGUUAUUUAUUUAUGUAUAUAUUUACUUACUUAUUUAACUGUACACCUAGCAUAGAGACACAACUAGUUGGGUACUUAACAAAUAGAUAUAUGAGUUGCCAUAGCUACAAACUACUACUAACAGUAGGAUGUUCAUAGCCAUUUUCUUUUUCUUUUUUUUUUUUUUUUUUGAGAUGGAGUUUUGCUCUUGUUGCCCAGGCUGGAGUGCAAUGGUGCGAUCUCAGCUCACUGCAACCUCCACCUCCUAGGUGAUUCUCCUGCCUCAGCCUCCUGAAGAGCUGAGAUUACAGGCGCCUGCCACCAAGCCCAGCUAAUUUUUAUAUUUUUAGUAGAGAUGGAGUUUCACCAUGUUGGCCAGGCUGGUCUUGAACUCCUGACAUCAGGUGAUCCACCCGCCUCAGCCUCCCAGAGUGUUGGGAUUACAGGCAUGAGCCACCACGCCCGGCCCCCAUUUUUUUGAUAUUAAAAAUGCAAUGAAAAAAACAGAAGAAAGGGUUUAUUUGGCCAAAAAAACCAUAAUGACUUUAAGAUGUAUAAUUUAACACCAAUUUCUUCCUUAAAAAGUUAAAGGCCUGUGAUCAUUUUAAGUGAUAUGAUUAGGAGAAAUAAAAUUGUGUGAUGAAGUAGCCACUAUCAGGUUUCAGCUGCCUGGUUAGACUUCACCACAGGACUAGCCCUGUCUCAAAACAUCAGAUUCUGGUGUUGUGAAUAAGAAAGUAUCCCCCAGUAGUCCAUCCUUCUAUCAGGGGAAAUAACUUUCCUCCAGCAUUGAAUCACUUUUCUAGGUAGAAAGUUUUGGAUAUAACUCCUUCUGAAAUGUUCCUCCCCAGGCCAGACCCCUGAACUUUCCUGAGGAAAGGAAGUGGCCCACAACCUAUCUCUGCCUCAUGGUCUCCCUGCAGACUAGAAAAAAGAAAAUAAUACUAUCAGAAAACUUGAGUUCCACUCCUGGCCCAGCCACUCUUGUGCAAUGUAGAAAAAUUAACUUCAUUUCCCUGGACCUCAGGUCCUCAUGGAUGUAAAGAAGUGUGCUACUUGCUCUGAUACUUCAAAAGACAGUUUACAGAGUAGCAAAUAACGUCAUGAAAAGAAUGACGGCUUUGGAGUCAGCCAGAUCUGGUUCAUUCUUCAACAAAUCUUUAUUUAGCAUCUACUAUAUGCCAGGCGCUAUUCUUGGUGCCAGAUGCUGCCUACAUGAAGCUCACAUUUUAAUGUGGGGACCAAUACUAGUUUGUGGCCUUGGGCAAAUCAUUUAGCCCCUCUAAGCUUGUUUUUUCCACCUGUAAAAUGGACAUUAUAAUAACAUUUCAAGAUGCAUUGUCAGGAUUAGAUACAAUGAUAUUUAAAGCACCUAUUAUACACUAGAGGCUCAAUGAAUGGUAUGUAAAUAAUACUAUACGAUACAUGAUAAAACACUUUUUUCAAUUGUACGAUUCUAUCCAGAUAGGCAAAUUAUUAUUUUUUCAUCUCUGUACUGUGUGACUCUAAAGCCAUAGAUAAUCACAAAAUUACACUGCAGAUUUAAUAAAUUUACUUCUCUUUACUGCCUUAAAAGCAACUUCAUUUAUCAAAGAAAUAUUUUUUGAGUCUCUACUAUGCAUUAAAUACUAGGCUGGCACUAGGGAUAUGGAAAUAAAUGAGACUUCCCUGCCCUUACUUAGGAUCAUAGCAGUAAAUGUUUGGAUUUCACCAGGGUCCUCACUUUUGGAGAGCUUAUUCUUCUAGAGUUUGUAUUAGUUAUUGACUGUUUAGAAAGAAAUCAAGAAAGGAAAACAACCCUCUAAUUGGCAAGUGGGUUAAGCUAAAGUUUUCUUAGAGAGACCUAAAGCUGUGUAUAUAAGACCCCUGGCAAUCUCACUCUACUCAAAAUGAAACAGAUAGGAGAACACAUCUUUCCUAUAGAUGCCUUAGAGGUAAAAUUUCAAUCUACCAACAUCUUUUGCAACAAAAGAAAAUCAAUUAAGUUAUUUACUAUACCCAGCCAUGUGACCAGUGUUGUUACACAUAUUUCAGAGAUAUAAAUGAAAAUAAGGAGAUAUUCCUGGAGCUCAGCAGGAGACAUGACACCUGCCCUUGAGGCAGGAGGUAGAAUGUGUUCAUUUAUUUACUUAUUUAUUUAGUCACGAAAAAUCUGUUUAGUAACCAUGGCCUUUGAGGAAUCACACUGAGUGCUGGGAAUACUAAGUGGGAGAACCAAUAAAGUGGAAGAACAGUUAUUGAGCACCUAUUGUGCACCAGGCACUGUCCAUCAUUUUACCUCCAUCAUCUCAAUGCAUUUCCAUCAAUCCUAAAAGAAUUUUUUUCUAAAAAGGGUUGUAUGCUUUGACCUCAAGGUGUUCAUUGGGGUGUGAGAGGACAGAAAGCAUCAAUCCACAGCGAAAAGGAAUGCCAUGGAGGAAAAUGCCCAGAGCCAGUGAGCUCAGUAGAGGAGAGAAUGGUUCACUGUCCCCAGAGGGUAGGGGCAGGCUUUGAAGAGGUUGUGGCAUUCUAGUUUUUAAGCAGGAGCAACACAGGUGAAAGAGAUCACUACUAGAUAGGCAGGGAUACAGAUGACAGAGAGAUAGGAAUUGACAGCACAGACCAUUCAUGCUAUAGGAGCUGGCCAAACCCCAAGGCUCUCAGAGCACCAGGUUACCAGUUGCUUCCCAAGCAUUCACCCAGAGUAGUUGCUCAUCUGAGAAGCUCUGUUUCCCUGAAAUAAUGACACUGGGAUUCAGAUUUCUAGCCCAAUUCAUGGUGCACUUGGGGCCUCACUUAUAACCCAUUCUUGGUUUUAUGAAGCAAACAGUUUCCUUCUGCUCUGUGCUCUGUUUUAGAGUCAGGAGCUGAUCUUUGCACUGAUGCCAUGCUAGAUCUUUAUUUGUUUUGUGCUGAUGAGAUUUAGGAGUGAGAAGUGGAAAAUAAACUGAUCCUCUCUAUCUCCCACUACUGGGUUUUGAUAGAUAAAGUGGUCCUCUUGAAGUUUUUCUUCUUUCAUUUGGAAAGUGUCAUAAGAUGUAGGUUAAGCUGGGUGCGGUGGCUCACGCCUGUAAUCCCAGCACUUUGGAAGGUGGAGGUGGGCAGAUCACGAGGUCAAGAGAUCCAGACCAUCCUGGCCAACUUGGUGAAACCCCGUCUCUACUAAAAAUACAAAAAUCAGCUGGGCAUGGUGGCAGGCGCCUGUAAUCCCAGCUACUCAGGUGGCUGAGGCAGGAGAAUCUCUGGAACCUGGGAGGUGGAGGUUGCAGUGAGCUGAGAUCACUCCACUGUACUCCAGCCUGGUGACAGAGCAAGACUCCAUCUCAAAAAGAAAAAAAAAAGAUAUAGGUUAAGCAGUAAAGUGUGGUGCCAGGCUGGGAGUGGUGGCUCAGGCUUGUAAUCCCAGCACUUUGUGAAGCCAAGGCGGGGUGGAUCACCUGAGGUCAGGAGUUUGAGACCAUCCUGGCCAACAUGGUGAAACCCCAUCUAUACUAAAAAUACAAACAUUAGCAGGGCAUGAUGUCGCCUGGUGGUAGUCCCAGCUACCCAGGAGGCUGAGGCAGGAGAAUCGCUUAACCACGGGAGGCAGAGGUUGCAGUGAGCCAAGAUCGUGCCACUGUACUCCAGCCUGGGCGACAGAGUGAGACUCCAUCUCAAAAAAAAAAAAAAAAAGUGUGGCACCAGAUAGACAUAAGUUCAAAUCCCAGAUCUACUUCUUAUUAGUUGUGUGAUCUUGAGCAUUGACUUUUCACCCAAAUUUGGACCCAAAUUCUGAGAGGUGAGAUACAACUAUAAAUUUGGAGUGCACCAAGGAAAAAUUUAGAGAGCUCUUCUUUACUCCUCUGUUAUUGGAAUAAACAGGUAUAACUCAGUGAUCACAUCUAGAGCAUCAAGGCCAUAGAGAAAGAAAAAAGCAACCACAGGCUGGCUCUCUAACUAGUUUACUCUUCAUUGCCUAAUUCAGCAAGCUAAAUACCUGAUCCAAAAGGAAAUUAUUAAGAGUUUUUUGCAAUAAAUACUGUAUAUAGGCUCCACUUUAUCUUGGAGGUCUGUGAUUAUGUUUAGAAAACAGCUUUUAUUGAAAAGCUAAACUUAUGAAUAGGUAGGAGGCUAGAACUUUCGACCUACAAUAAUAAUAAUAGCAAUCAUAAUAACUUUGGGAGGCGUUUACUAUAAGCCAGGCACUAUUUUAAGCACUUUAUUAUGAAUUGAUUCAUUUAAUCUUAUAGUCAUCCUAUGAAAUAGGUACUAUCAUUAUCUCUAUUUUAAGAUAAGGAAAUUAGGCCAGGUACAAUGGCUCAUGUCUGUAUUCCCAACAUUUUGGGAAGCCAAAGUGGAAAGAUCCCUUGAGGCCAGGAGAUUGAGACCAGCCUGGGCAAAAAUGUGAGAACCUGUCUCUGCAAAAAAUUUAAAGAAUUAGCCAGGCAUGGUGGCCUGUGCCUAUAGUCCCAGCUGCUUGGGAGGCUGAGGCAGAAGGACUGCUUGAGCCUGGGAGGUCAAGGCUUACAGUGAGCCAUGAUAAUGCCACUGCACUGUAGCCUAUGCAACAGAGCAAGACUCUGUCUCAAAAAAAGAAAAAGAAAAAGAAAAAGGAAAUUGAGCCACAGAGAGGGACAGUGGCUUGCUGACUUGUCGGAGCCAGGAUUUUUACCUACGCUGUCUGCUUUAGAGCCUGUCAUGAACCUCUCUCCAGUUCUAUAAGCCAACUUCUUUUAAAAUAAUUAUAAUAAUAACAUUUUGUGUU
rnacentral:lncRNA from 1 species